rnacentral:rRNA from 1 species
UCGAGCGGACAGAUGGGAGCUUGCUCCCUGAUGUUAGCGGCGGACGGGUGAGUAACACGUGGGUAACCUGCCUGUAAGACUGGGAUAACUCCGGGAAACCGGGGCUAAUACCGGAUGCUUGUUUGAACCGCAUGGUUCAAACAUAAAAGGUGGCUUCGGCUACCACUUACAGAUGGACCCGCGGCGCAUUAGCUAGUUGGUGAGGUAACGGCUCACCAAGGCAACGAUGCGUAGCCGACCUGAGAGGGUGAUCGGCCACACUGGGACUGAGACACGGCCCAGACUCCUACGGGAGGCAGCAGUAGGGAAUCUUCCGCAAUGGACGAAAGUCUGACGGAGCAACGCCGCGUGAGUGAUGAAGGUUUUCGGAUCGUAAAGCUCUGUUGUUAGGGAAGAACAAGUACCGUUCGAAUAGGGCGGUACCUUGACGGUACCUAACCAGAAAGCCACGGCUAACUACGUGCCAGCAGCCGCGGUAAUACGUANGUGGCAAGCGUUGUCCGGAAUUAUUGGGCGUAAAGGGCUCGCAGGCGG